rnacentral:snoRNA from 1 species
AUUCUUUAGAUGAGGAGACUGCCUCCUACAUCCUCUCUAGCCUCGACGCUGACUUUAACCCUAUUGUCUCCGCCAUGGCAGCAUGCACCGAGUCGCUGUCGCUUUGGGAACUCUACACCCAGCUAGUCAGCUGGGAGC